rnacentral:rRNA from 1 species
AUACGGAGGAUGCGAGCGUUAUCCGGAUUUAUUGGGUUUAAAGGGUGCGUAGGCGGUUUGUCAAGUCAGCGGUGAAACGCAAGGGCUUAACCCUUGACCUGCCGUUGAAACUGAUUGACUAGAAUGCGGAUGCUGUGGGAGGAAUGUGUGGUGUAGCGGUGAAAUGCAUAGAUAUCACGCAGAACUCCGAUUGCGGAGGCAGCUUACUAAGCUACAACUGACACUGAAGCACGAAAGCGUGGGGAUCAAACAGGAUUAGAUACCCUGGUAGUCCACGCAGUAAACGAUGAUUACUAGCUGUUUGCGAUACACAGUAAGCGGCACAGCGAAAGCGUUAAGUAAUCCACCUGGGGAGUACGCCGGCAAUGGUGAAACUCAAAUGAAUUGACGGGG